GGACCCAUAGCUCAGCGGUAGAGCAUCUGAUUCCAGCUUCUGACCUUACAAUAGUAAGGUGCAACUGCCUCCAGAAGGUCAUCCGUUCAAAUCGGGUUGGGUUCA